rnacentral:lncRNA from 1 species
CUGGGGCUGCCGUCGGGCCUUCUCCCUCCAGGGGCCCAAGAGCCACUGGUACUCAGUGUUAUUAGUUCACCCCUAGCUUCUCCCCAGCGAGACCCCAGGGCCCUUGGGCACAGGGGAUUAAGCCUCAAUCUGCUUACGUGCAAGCGGAAGAAAUAGGCCCAGAGAGCAACAGUGGUGGGUCUGCAGUCACACAGCCAACUUGCGCUUGUAGCAGUGGCAAUGUUGGUGAGUAUCUGAGUCUUCAGGCCACGGCAUUUUCCCCUCGAGUGGAGCCUGGGAAGCUGGUUCAGUGGGGCUGUUGACCACAGGUACCAACCCUGCCCUCCCCUA